rnacentral:lncRNA from 1 species
CUAGCUCCACGUGCUCUGGGGGAGAUGGGAAAAGAUCAUCUGUGGUUAGGCCUCCUUGAAACCAUUCCUUGGUCGCAGGAGCCUUUUUGCUCUAAGACUUGAAACUGUAGACGCUGCGGGCAGAGGCCCUGGUCGCUACAAAGGGCUCGCCAGCCCACCAAGGGAAGGAAGAGUGUGCCUGGCUUUGCUGUGGAUCCGAAGCUCAAACAUCCAGAGGUGGGAUCCAGGCCAACUUGCUUCAGAGCAGGCUGGACAGGACCGGGCCUGUAAGAAUUCUCUGGUGAACGCGCCAGUUUGUGGUAUCGAUGGCCUAAUCAUCCAUCUUUCCCAUCCCUAUCCCAGCACACCACUGGAGACUUCCACCCACCCUUUGAUUUUUGCCUAGCUGACGGACGAGUUCGGGGUCAUCUCCAAUUUCCCUUUCCAAAUUGUCUAGUCUUGACUUAUCCUGGUUUCUAAGUAGCGGGUACCCAACAAGGAUCCCAGGCAGGCCAAUUCCAUCCAGGUGGCCUCCCUUUCCCGCGUCAGCAGCAGGCACCUGAGACACCCCCACAGCCUGUGCGCUGCCAACUGUGAGCCGCCAUAGGGCAGAAAACUGCUUAUCGGACACAGAAUCUAGCUCCACUUGUCUCCAGUUACUAGUAUGUUCUGGGGGCAUUUGUAUUCUCUUGUCUGAAAAGAUCUUAGAAAUCUUGGAUCCAUGCUCAAUUAACAAUAGGUUUUCCUAUCAGACCGUUCAGCCAAUUACUGUCAGAUAAAGUAAAUAUGACUAUGCAGCUUGGGUUUUCGUCUCUAUGUCUGCCUGAGUUCACCUCCAUCACUUGGAACAUAUCACAAGCCCCUCCCAUGGGAUAUUUGAUUACAGAUCUUGCUGUAGUGGUGGCAAAUUCCCUGGAGGAUACUUUAUAGAGGCGUAUAUUACUAAAUAAAGCGACACCUCGUGUUAACCAUUACAAUAAAUGCAUUACCAACUGAAAAUGUAAUUUUAAAA